CGGGGUGGGCAGCUCUAGAGGAAAACUUGUGGACUGCAAGCGGAAAGAGAAUCCUGCCAGCUACAAGGACAGAUGGGGAAUAGCAAGAGCCACCCGGGGCAGAGUUUCUCCUCGCGGUUUCUUCCUGAGGAGCAGGCCGAGGUUGACAGAUUGUUUGAUUCUCUGUCAUCAGAGGAACUCGGCUCCAGUACCUCGCCCAGAUCCUUCUCUCUGCAGGCACUGAAGGCAAGGAGCCACGUGGGGGAAGCUCUUCCCGCAGAGAUGGUCACAAGGCUCUUUGAGGGCAUGCGGAGGGUGGACGUGACCGGGAAGACCAAGGGGUCCAGUGAGCGCAUCUCCCAGGAGCAGUUCACAGUGUCCAUGUCCCACCUGUUGAAAGGAAAUGCCGAGGAGAAGAGUCUCGUGAUCUGGAAAAUGAUUUCUGCCACAGAAAGUCCCGUGAAAGCAAGAGAGGUCCAAAAGUUUACAGAGGAUCUGGUUGGCUCUGUGGCACACGUGCUAAACUGCAGACAGGAGCUGAGAGGCUGGACUCAGAAGCAAGCCCCAGGCUCCCUUUCCAGGGUGCAGGUGCUGGCUGCUCAGCUGUGCUCCGAGAUGAAGCUUCAAGACGGUGAGAAGCUUCUGGGGCCUCAGCAGCUAGACUGUGACCGAACCACGGUUGAGGACUGGGUGUUCAGGGCCCCCCUCGUGGCCACGUUCCUGAGCGUGGUCAUCCAGCAAGGCUUUCUCCUCCUGUGCUCGUCCCUCGAUCUGGCCACCCUGGUCCCCGAGCGCCAAGUCGACCAGGAGCGGGAGUUUGCGAGCGUCCUGGAUGUCCUGUCCGUCAUCUACAUCAACUCCCACCUGCCCAGGGAGCAGCGGCACCGCUGGCGCCUGCUCUUCUCAUCCGAGCUCCACGGGCACAGCUUCGCGCAGCUCUGUGGGCGCAUCGCACACUGGGGGCCCUGCGUGGUGCUGCUCGAGGACCGUGAUGGCCACGUGUUCGGUGGCUUUGCUUCCUGCUCCUGGGAGGUCAAACCUCAGUUUCAAGGGGAUGACAGGUGCUUCCUGUUCUCCAUCUGCCCCCGCAUGGCCGUGUACACCUGCACGGGCUACAACGACCACUACAUGUACCUGAAUCAAGGGCAGCAGACCAUCCCGAAUGGACUGGGCAUGGGAGGGCAGCACAAUUAUUUUGGCCUGUGGAUCGAUGUCGAUUUUGGGAAAGGACACAGCAAGGCCAAGCCCACGUGCACCACGUACAACAGCCCUCAGCUCUCGGCCCAGGAGGACUUCCGGUUCGAGAAGAUGGAGGUGUGGGCAGUGGGAGAUGCUUCGGUGACACAGCUGGUUCUGCAUUUUCUACCGGGAGGCUCAUCAAACUUUGCACUGAGCCCUGAGCGGAAGGCCUUCGGAAGAGAAGUGUGUGCUCAGACAGUGAUGUGCACACUCCGGCAUGAUUGAUUUUCCUUAUACAAAGCCAGUUCUUAAUAGCUUCUCAGAUGUGAUUGACAUUUAAACUAGUAGACUCUGAAUGAAGCAGAUGACCAUCAUGUGGGCGGACCUCAUCCAAUCAGUUGAAGGCUAGAAGACUGAGGUCCCAGAGAAGAAAGGAACCCAGACCCGAGCCCUGCAGUACCAACUCCUUCCUGAGUCUCCAGCCUGUCAGCCAGCCCUAGAAAUGUCGGACUCCCUGGCCCCGACAAUCACGGCCUGGCGGGACAGAGUGGUGGAUGGAUGCAAGGCUGGGCCCAAGCUCCCGGCCGGUUUCCCAGGAAUAGCCAGGUGAGUGACCUGACGCCACGGUGUCCUGAAAGCACCUCUCGGAAGAGGCGGGGCAGGGGGAGGGCCACAGUCACAUAAAAAUAUAGAUUUAAGGGAUUUUACAUGGGUCGGGGUCCACUACACAUCUUCCUGGUGGAUCUGGGCUUUCUUGGCUGUGGAGCAGAAUUUUUCACAUAGUUUGAAGAGCUCUGACAAAACAAACACGGAGGAGGCCAAUCCGGUUAAAAGCAAUAGAUCUGCCAACAGGGGAAGAGAGAAAAAGGUCAGAGAGCGCAAGCUGGCCCCUCUGGUCCCCAGCCCCGUGCUGCCCAGCACUGGAGCCCAGGGGGCCGCGGAGUGCUGUUGCCCGUGCUUGGCUCGUUCUGAGUUACGGAGGUGAGGGGCCAGGACCCGGGAGCUGAGGACCAGACUUUCCACUCCCCUGAUGGGGCAGAGAUUUCCCCAGCCCAGCAUCCAAAACCCUGCAGCGCCAGCUCCACAAGGACCAGCUGGUCUUUGCAGGCGGCUCAGAGCUGGGGGGCGGGCAUGAUGCAAGCUUCCGCUGUAAGGAGACCCUUCCUGGGGCAGACGCCCCCGACCACGGUUCGGGCUCCGACUCCAGCUCCGGCUCGUUCUGGAGGGUUGACCCCUGAAUUCUCCCCCUGAGCCUUUUCUUGGCUCCCUGCCGUCAACGAUUCGUGACAGACAUGGUGCCCGGCGCAGGCCCUGCACUUCCUUUAGACUCGGCACAGGAGGCCAAGCCACCCGGCGCAGCUUCCGAAGAGAGACCGUGGAUCUGCCAGAAGCCUGCUGAAGACGCAGGGGAGUCCCCGGGGUCCCCCACGUGGCAUGUGUGCUUGGGGCCCAGAGAGCUGUGGUCAUUGCUUGUGGCCCUUUCAGCAGGAACUGCCAGCUGGCAGAUGUCCAGGAACGAGCCCAGUCCUUUGCAGACAGGAUGGCCCCACGCGCGGACUUCACGCCCCGGAAAGGUCUGCAGCUGCCCCGCGCGUGCGGCGAGGACGGCUGCGGUCCCGGGUGACCCCUCCCACUCACCGAGCGCCCCCAGGUUCUCCGUCUGGAAGACCUUCUGCAGGGGCGGCAGGUAUAUCACCGCCAGCUGCCCCAGGACAGACCCGAGCACGGAGUAGAGGAACGUGCGGUUCCUGAGGAAGCCGAUCUCGAAUAUCAGCUUGGUCUGCGGAGAAGGGCACAGUUGGGGCACAGGAGCCGCCCCGAGACUAGAGCCGGGAAAGCAUGAGCCAGUGCUGCCGGGGGCAGCGGGGCCUCACCUGGGAGCGGCAGGUCAAGGCGUUGAAGAGGUCGAAGAGCACGAAACAGGUGAAGGUCAUGGUCGUGGUGCGCGGGGUGCUUGCCUUGUCUUCGGGCAUCUGCAACACGAGUGCACCGGGUGAGAAGGUGCAGGGGGGGGCGGGGACCCCGCCCUCAGGACUCCUGUGUCAGAACAGACAGAUCUGUGCCUCUCCCACCUUCCGGGCCGUUGAGGAUACAAGAAAGAGCCCAGCUGCUCCGCGGGGGUGGCGUGGGGGACACACCUGAGAAAAACAGACCUGCGGGCACCCCAUCCCCCCUCCCGCACAUGGGCGAGCUGGGGUUUAAACGCCUGGACGAUCACCCGCCUAAUUCUCUCUCCAGCUCACUGGCCGUCUCAGCACAGGGGCUCCCUGAACCUGCAGGCCAUGGAAAGGUGACCCAUAAUAAGAUCCCCUACAGUGAGAACAGACGGCCUCUUCAAUAAGUGGUGCUGGGAAAACUGGACAGCUACAUGUAAAAGAACGAAAUUAGAACACUCCCUAACACCAUCCACAAAAAUAAACUCCAGAUGGAUUAAAGACCUAAAUGUAAGGCCAGACACUAUCAAACCCCUAGAGGAAAACAUAGGCAGAACACUCUGACAUAAAUCAGAGAAAUAUCUUCUUUGAUCCACCUCCUAGAGUAAUGAAAAUAAAAACAAAGACAACCCACAGAAUGGGAGAAAAUAUUUGCAAAUGAGGCAACUGACAAGGGCUUAAUCUCCAAAAUAUACAAACAGCUCCUGCAGCUCAAUAUCAGCAAAACAACCCAGUCAGAAAAUGGGCAGAAGACCUAAAUAGACAUUUCUCCAAAGACGACAUACAGAUGGCCAAAACGCAUAAAAAGAUGCUCAACGUCACUAAUUAUCAGACAAAUGCAAAUCAAAACUACAAUGAGGUACCACCUCACACCAGUUAGAAUGGGCAUCAUUAGAAAAUCUGCAAACAAUAAAUGCUGGAGAGGGUGUGGAGAAAAGGGAACCCUCUUGCACUGUUGGUGGGAAUGUAAAUUGAUACAGCCACUAUGGAGAACAGUAUGGAGGUUCCUUAAAAAACUAAAAAUAGGUUUACCCGGACAAAGCUAUAAUUCUAAAAGAAAGAUACCUGCACCCCUAUGUUCACAGCAGCACUACUCACAAAAGCCAAGACAUGGAAGCAGCCUCAACAUCCAUCAACAGAUGAAUGGAUAAAGAAGAUGUGGUACAUAUAUACAAUGGAAUAUUACUCAGCCAUAGAAAAGAAUGCUAUUUGCAGCAACAUGGAUGGACCUGGAGAUUAUCAUACUACGUGAAGUAAGCCAGACAAAGACAAAUAUCAUAUCACUUAUAUGUGGAAUCUAAAAAAAUGAUACAAAUGAACUUAUUUACAAAACAAACAGACUCACAGACUUUGAAAACAAACUUACGAUUACUAAAUGGGAAUCGUUGGCAGGGAAGAUAGACUGGGAGUUUGGGAUUAAUUUAUACACACUACUACUACAUGUAAAUAAUCAACAAGGACCUACUGUGUAGCACAGGGAACUCAGUAUUCUGUAAUAACCUAUAAGGAAAAAGAUUCUGAAAAAGAAUGGAUACAUGUAUAUGUAUACCUGAAUCACUUGGCUGUACACCUGAAACUAAACAUUGUAAAUCAACUCUACCCCAAUAUAAAAUAAAAAUUAAAUUAAAAAUCU